rnacentral:rRNA from 1 species
UGCCAGCCGCCGCGGUAAUACGAAGGGGGCUAGCGUUGUUCGGAAUCACUGGGCGUAAAGCGCACGUAGGCGGAUAUUUAAGUUAGGGGUGAAAUCCGGGGCUCAACCUCGGAACUGCCUCUAAUACUGGAUAUCUUGAGUCCGAGAGAGGUUAGUGGAAUUCCUAGUGUAGAGGUGAAAUUCGUAGAUAUUAGGAAGAACACCAGUGGCGAAGGCGGCUAACUGGCUCGGUACUGACGCUGAGGUGCGAAAGCGUGGGGAGCAAACAGGAUUAGAUA